UCAAACUAUAUUACAAAGCAGCAGUCAUCAAAACAAUUUGGUACUGGCUAAGAAACAGAAAGGAAGAUCAGUGGAAUAGACUGGGGGAAAACGACCUCAGCAAGACAGUAUACGAUAAACCCAAAGAUCCCAGCUUUUGGGACAAAAAUCCACUAUUCGAUAAAAACUGCUGGGAAAAUUGGAAGACAGUGUGGGAGAGACUAGGAAUAGAUCAACACCUCACACCCUACACCAAGAUAAAUUCAAAAUGGGUGAGUGACUUAAACAUAAAGAAGGAAACCAUAAGUAAAUUGGGUAAACACAGACUAGUAUACAUGUCAGACCUUUGGGAGGGGAAAGGCUUUAAAACCAAGCAAGAUAUAGAAAGAAUCACAAAAUGUAAAAUAAAUAAUUUUGACUACAUCAAACUAAAAAGCUUUUGUACAAACAAAACCAAUAUAACUAAAAUCAGAAGGGAAACAACAAAUUGGGAAAAAAUCUUCAUAGAAACCUCUGACAAAGGUUUAAUUACUCAUAUUUAUAAUGAGCUAAAUCAAUUGUACAAAAAAUCAAGCCAUUCUCCAAUUGAUAAAUGGGCAAGGGAAAUGGAUAGGCAGUUCUCAGAUAAAGAAAUCAAAACUAUUAACAAGCACAUGAAGAAGUGUUCUACAUCUCUUAUAAUCAGAGAGAUGCAAAUCAAAAUAACUCUGAGGUAUCACCUCACACCUAGCAGAUUGGCUAACAUAACAGCAAAGGAAAGUAAUGAAUGCUGGAGGGGAUGUGGCAAAGUAGGGACAUUAAUUCAUUGCUGGUGGAGUUGUGAACUGAUCCAACCAUUCUGGAGGGCAAUUUGGAACUAUGCCCAAAGGGCGACAAAAGAAUAUCUACCCUUUGACCCAGCCAUAGCACUGCUGGGUCUGUACCCCAAAGAGAUAAUGGACACAAAGACUUGUACAAAAAUAUUCAUAGCUGCGCUCUUUGUGGUGGCCCAAAACUGGAAAACGAGGGGAAGCCCAUCAAUUGGGGAAUGGCUGAACAAACUGUGGUAUAUGUUGGUGAUGGAAUACUAUUGUGCUCAAAGGAAUAAUAAAGUGGAGAAGUUCCAUGGAGACUGGAACAACCUCCAGGAAGUGAUGCAGAGCGAGAGGAGCAGAACCAGGAGAACAUUGUACACAGAGACUAAUACACUGUGGUAUCAUCGAACGUAAUGGACUUCUACAUUAGGGGCGGUGUAAUGUCCCUGAACAACUUUCAGGGAUCCAGGAGAAAAAAAAAACACCAUUCAUAAGCAAAGGAUAAACUAUGGGAGUGGAAACACCGAGAAAAAGCAACUGCCUGAAUACAGAGGUUGAGGGGACAUGACAGAGGAUAGACUUUAAAUCAACACUCUAAUGCAAAUACUAUCAACAAAGCAAUGGGUUCAAAUCAAGAAAACAUCUAAUGCCCAGUGGACUUACGCGUCGGCUAUGGGGGGUGGGGGGGGAGGAAAAGAAAAUGAUCUAUGUCUUUAACGAAUAAUGCUUGGAAAUGAUCAAAUAAAAUAUAUUAAAAAAAAAAAAACAAAGAGUUACUAGGGUGGGGGUGGAGGGGCUGACAUUUUGAAUGCCUUGCCUUUUCUUGAACUCAACACCUUUCUCUGAUGUCUGUCUGGCUACUUCUUUAUGUUCAGAUAUCUAUCCAUUUGGAUAUGCCUUACUGUCAUGAUUCUUACCUUUGCCUUUUAAUUUGUUGGCUUUAAUAGAUGAGCUGAUUCUAAACUGGGGGUAUUAAAAGCUACCUCCACAAGGUAAUGUUUAAUUUUGUUUUGACAUUUGUUAUUAACUGCAUCUAUCUUUAUCAUUUUAAAAUGAAUUUUCUUUUAGAUUGCUGCAAGUAGUUUCUUAGGAUGGAAAAUUCAGUCUUAAAAUGUUUUUUGGCAGUUUCUACAGCUUCUUUCUUUCUUUAUUCUGUAUUGGUUCUAAGGCAGAAGGGUGGUAAAGGCUAGGCAAUGGGACUUAAGUUACUUGCCCAGGGUCACACAGCUAGGAAUGUCUGAGGCCAGAUUUAAACCUAGGACCUUCUGCACAUCUCUAAGCCUGGCUCUCAAUCCACUGAGCUUCCCAGCUGCUGCUUCUCUUUUUGAAUCCUCUUUUGUUUGGUGGCUAUUAUCUUACCUAUGCAAUAUGUGAUGUUGCUAAUACAUACAUGCUAAGUUUAUGAAAGAAAAUAUUGACUGAUAGACAUAUGAUUUUUUUAGAAGAUGCAUUAUUUUUUCCUCUUUAGUCACAAAUAAUCACUUAAAAAAUUCUCACCUUCUGUCUUAGUAUCAAUUCUAAGAUGGAAGAGUAGCAAGGACUAUUUAGCUGCCCUCAAACAAUUGAUCACUUUAAAAAACAUUGAUUCUAUGGAGCAGCUAGGUGGCUCAGUGGAUAAAGCUAGAGACGGGAGGUCCUGGGUUCAAAUAUUACUUCAAACAUUUCCUAGCUAUGCGACCCUGGACAAGUGACUUAAUCCUAAUUGCCUUGCCUAUACCACUUUUCUGCUUUGAAACUGAUUCACAGUAUUGAUUCUAAGAUGGAAGAUAAGGGUUUAAAAAUGGAUUCUAUUAAUCUCUAGAAUGGAUAGAGUAGGGAUGUAGAUAGAAAAUAUUCCAACGUCAGCCCUGAUUUUGGCAACUAAGAGAAAGGUCUUAGCAUCAGAUUUCAGAUGAAUAGGCCAUUGGGUCUUAUGUUUUAGAGUAUCAUUUUGUCAAAAUUCCUAGAAUGGCAUCCAAUUCUCCAGAUGUGGUCUUGGUAACAUAGAUUACAAUACAACUAUUUCUUCCCUUGUCUGGACACAUACAUAAUUAAGUCUGAACCUUAAUCUUGAAUUGUACUGAAUUGACAAUCAAUUAAAGCCCCAAGUUUUUUUGCGCAUGAACUACUGCUUAAACUGGGAUUCCCCUUCCCCCAUCUGUGUUCAGGUUUUCUUUAAUCAAAGGGCACCAGUUAAAAUUUCAUCCUACUUAGAUUCAUCUUAUUUUGGCAACUCACCAACUGUUUUCUAAUUCUUAUUCUAUCAUUUAACUUACCCUCGAUGUUCUAGACAAUUUUCUAAGACAAUAAAUUGCAGAUUAUAAUAUAUUAAUGUCUUCACCUUAGGACUUUCCUGUCCCAAUGAAAUGACAGAUCCAACCCCUAUCCCUUGUCUCCAUUCAUAUUCCUUCAUUGUUCAGCCAUCCACCAACUGAUGGAUACUCACUCCCUUAAUUUCUAGCUAUGAAUCUUUGAACAUUUGAAUUAGUCCCCUCUUUCUUUAGUCUCUUCAGUGUAUGUGUUGAAUGGGCUUCUAAGAGUCAAAAGGUUAGUACUUUUGGUUAGAGUCUUUUGAAAACAGUUUCAAAUUGCUUUCUAAAAUGUCUGGAAAUAGCUAUAUCUAUCCCACUAAAACUACAUUAAUGUGCCUAUCUUUGUACAUUCCCUCCCAAAAUGGUCAUUUUCCUUUUUGGUUAUCUUUCUGAUAGGUACAAAGUGGAAUUGGUAUCUUAGUAUCUGUAGUGUUUUUACUGGAUGGUUCUUGAUAGCUUGCUUUUUUUUUUUAAUUUUAAGAUCUGACACUAUACUUUGACCAUUUGUCUUUUGUGGAAUGGUUCAUAUUCUUUCCAUUCCAUUGUGAACUCCUUUAUGGCAGGAACUAUCUUUUUUCUCUUUUUGUAUCCCCAGCAUUUAGCAUAGUACCUGGCAUAUAGUAGAUGCUUAUUGAUUAAAUGACCAUAUUCCCUAUAUUUCUUAUAGAUCAGACCUUUAGCAGAGAAAUUUGUUAUCAUUAAUUUCUUCCAUAUGCUAUUUCCUUUCUAAUUCUCACUGCAUUGUUUUUGUUUAUGCAAAACAAAUUUUAAAUUUAUGUGAUCAAAAUUGUAUAUCUUAUCUCCUGUGAUUCUGUUUCUUGCUAAUCAAGAACUCUUCCCUAAUUCAUAGCUGUAAAAUCUGUCUCCUUCUAUGGGCUUCUAAUUUGCUGCUGAUGUGACCUAUAUCAGAUCAUGCAACCAUUUGGAGCUUAUUAUGCUAUAUGGUAUGAGGUGUUGAUCUAAGUCUAAUUUCUUCCAGAUGGGUUACCAAUUUUCCCUGAAGUUCCUUAGGUAAGAUUUUCCAUAACUAUUUAUUCUUACUUUAAUGAUUUCCCCCAAAGCUCUUAUUUUACUUAUAAUUUCAUGGAGCUCCCCCUUGUAGGCACUCUGGACUUCCUGUGACCUUCCCCAACCCCCCCCCCCUCACACACACACACAAAAGUGUGCUGCAGGUUUUCAGGUGUAACAUCCAUCCAGCAAGACUUGGGUUAGCCACAAAUACCUUGGAAGUUAUAUCUCUCUCUUGAGAGGUCCUUAAAACUCCAUCUCUGGAUCUCAAAUCCAGUCAUUCUAUAUGGAAAAAAAACCCAUGUCCUCUAGUCAUGAUAUUAGUUAACUUCCUCUCUUCUCACGCUUGGAAGAAAUAUAGCUUCCAGGGUAUUUGUAGCUAGUCCAGACCGUGCCUUAAAGCUGUUAUAGAGAUACCCCUGAUGUCUCUUUGGUCAGAUUGCUAGUGGACUUCUGGCUUCUUUCUUGUGCUUGCCUUGGCUUCCCUUCUAGAGGGGUCCCAAAGUCUUCUGACUGCCUAUUUGUGUAGUUGUGAGCCAGAUGAGGGAAUUUACUGUUGUUUCUCUUUGGAUUUCUGUAUCAUUAUUUGAUCUGGAACCCCUUUUAGAUUUUUGCUGGAGUGCAUGUGGUUAUCCUGUACAACUUUUCAUGUGGUCAACUUGACCAAAAGUCAGAAUCAUUUAUUUCCAAAGAGAUGUCAUUCAUUCCAAAGUAGCUUAUGUUGGGGGGGGGGAGAUUAAGUGGGUCUCAGCAAACACUUGGAUGGUGAGGGUCUUGUAAUUUUGUUAAACUUCUCAACUAGUUUACUGAUCUUCUGAAAGGAGUUUGGUUGGGGAAGAACACUUCCGUAUUCUCCAGUAUGUGGCCAGAACUCCCCCUUUCAUGUGAGUGAGUGGUUUCUUCUGAUGUCAUUCUCAUAGCCAUUGGGACAGGGCAGAGUCAACAACUUCACUUUGGAGAGAAGCACUGUGUGUGUGGGGUGGCACUAGAGGGGGAGGCCUUUUCAGCCUGCCCAAAUGAGUAGCCUGCCCUGUUUAUUUAUAGGUUUGGUUUCUGCUGCAUGACUUGCAUUUAUUCAUCACUUCGUUUUUCUACAUUCUAGAAUGAAAAGUUCUGAAGGCAAUAGAAUAUAGUACAAGAAUGGAGGGAAUCUUUGUCCUAAGGAUUUGUCUGCUAGAAGUCUGAUCUACCUGCAGCAUGAGUCAUCCCUUGAUUUCAUUUAUCUUGAUAUUCAUUUACCCUAAAUGCAGGACUCGGAUCUGAUCUCAGGACUUCAGAUGUGGUCUGACCAGUCAAGAGUAGUACUAUGAUAGUUCUUUCUCCUUUGAUACACUAGUAAAAUAAGAUUGUAUUCAUAUUUUAGCAACCUCAUCAAAAUAUUGGAAUUUUUAAAAAUUAGAGCUGGAAUGCCAUUUAGAAAUCCUCUUAAUAUAACUCUUCUCCACUAUAUGUAUACAUACAUAUAUAUGCUAUAUAUGAAUAUAAGUAUAUAGUAUAAUAUAUAAGCAUAUUAUAUAUUUGUAUUAAAUAAUAUAUAAAUUAUGUAUGUAUAAAAUAUCUAAUUUAAAGUUAUCUUCUGUCUUAGGAUAUACUAAGUCUUGAUUCUAACACAGAAAAGUGGUAAGGACUAGGUGUUUAGAUGUAAGUGACUUAACAAUGGUCAAACAGGAAAUAUCUGAGGUCAAAUUUGAACUCAAGGCCUCCUGACUCCAGUCCCAGGGCUCAAUUCUUUGUGCUACCUAGCUGUCCCUCUCUCCACUCUAUUUUACAGAUGAAGAAACUGAAGACCAUGGAGGGGAAAUUGACUUGGUCCAAUGUAACACCGAUUUAGUGGAAGAUCCAGAACCAGGUUAAAAAAAAAAAGAUUCAGAACAAUGAAAUGAAUGCUGACUUCCCUAUAGAUUUUCACUCAUUGUGGAAUGAGGCAGUUGAAAUCUUUUGAUGGAAGAGAGACAAUUAAAUAGUUUGGGGUUAUUAGAGACUUGGAAGGUAAAGUGAGGAAACUGAGAAGUCCAAAAUAAAAAAUAAAAAACUAAA